UGUGUAACUCAGUGGUAGAACAUCUGAUUUGCAUUCAGAAGAUCCAAGCUUCAACCCCUUGCAUCUCAA